rnacentral:rRNA from 1 species
UACGAAGGGUGCAAGCGUUAAUCGGAUUUAUUGGGCGUAAAGGGCGCGUAGGCGGAAAAGCAAGUCAAAUGUGAAAUCCCUGGGCUUAACCCAGGAACUGCAUUUGAAACUACUUAUCUAGAGGAUAGACGGAGAAAGUGGAAUUCCACGUGUAGCGGUAAAAUGCGUAGAUAUGUGGAAGAAUACCGGUGGCGAAGGCGACUUUCUAGUUUAUACCUGACGCUCAGGCGCGAGAGCAAGGGGAGCAAACAGGAUUAGAUACCCUGGUAGUCCUUGCCGUAAACGAUGUAUACUUGGCGUAGCUGGUCUCAACCCCAGCUGUGCCGGAGCUAACGUGUUAAGUAUACCGCCUGAGGAGUACGCUCGCAAGGGUGAAACUCAAAAGAAUUGACGGGGGCUCGCACAAGCAGUGGAGCAUGUGGUUUAAUUCGAUGCAACGCGAGGAACCUUACCUAGACUUGACAUCCAGGGGACAGCUACAGAAAUGUAGCCUUCUUCGGACCGCUGGACAGGUGCUGCAUGGCUGUCGUCAGCUCGUGCCGUGAGGUGUUGGGUUAAGUCCCGCAACGAGCGCAACCCUUAUCACUAGUUACCAGCAUUUCGGAUGGGAACUCUAGUGAGACUGCCUGGGUUAACCAGGAGGAAGGUGAGGAUGACGUCAAGUCAGCAUGGCCCUUAUGUCUAGGGCUACACACGUGCUACAAUGGUCGGUACAGAAGGCAGCGAAGCCGUGAGGUGGUGCUAAUCCUAUAAAACCGAUCUCAGUUCGGAUUGUAGUCUGCAACUCGACUACAUGAAGUUGGAAUUGCUAGUAAUGGCGUGUCAGCAAUAACGCCGUGAAUACGUUCUCGGGCCU